rnacentral:rRNA from 1 species
UUUGACCUCAAAUCAGGUAGGACUACCCGCUGAACUUAAGCAUAUCAAUAAGCGGAGGAAAAGAAACUAACAAGGAUUCCCCUAGUAACUGCGAGUGAAGCGGGAAAAGCUCAAAUUUAAAAUCUGGUAGUCCUUGUGGCUAUCCGAGUGUAAUCUAGAGAAGGUAAGGGCG